UACAGAGGUCUCGAGCGUUAGGCGGAAUCACUGGGCUUAAAGCGUGUGUAGGCGGAUUGCUAAGUACCUUGUGAAAUCCCACGGCUUAACCGUGGAACUGCUUGGCAUACUGGCGGUCUUGAGCAACCUAGGGGCGAGCGGAACAAAUGGUGGAGCGGUGAAAUGCGUAGAUAUCAUUUGGAACGCCAAUGGUGAAAACAGCUCGCUGGGGGUUUGCUGACGCUGAGACACGAAAGCCAGGGGAGCAAACGGG
rnacentral:rRNA from 1 species